rnacentral:lncRNA from 1 species
CAUGUGUGCAAGAUUCCAAUCCGACCCUAAGGGGAGUACUUAGCACGGGUGCUACAGAGAGAUAUGUUUUUAUAUCCCGCAUUGAAAAUCCUCCUUCCGUAUUGGAAUACAUAUAUGAUCAGAUACUCUUGCCCAAGAUCCUUUGUAUUUCUUUUGUUUAGGCGAAAUUCCUAACUAAAAAAACAAAAUAAAUAUUAUAUAUAUAUAGAAUGAACCGUAUAGACGAGAUUUUCCUAUCCCUAAAAAAGAUGACCCCUUCUACCUUACGGUCGUAAAAUGAAUCUUGAGAUUUUUGGCUUAUACUCCUAAGUUUGGGCUUUGGUACCCUCGGGGAUCCACAUUUGAUUUGAUUGGUUAUUCGGAUGCCGAUUGGGCAGGGUGUAAGAUUAAUAGAAAGAGCACAUUGGGGACUUGCCAGUUCUUGGGAAGAUCCUUGGUGUCUUGGGCUUCAAAGAAGCAAAAUUUGGUCGCUCUUUCUACCGCCGAAGCCGAGUACAUUGCCGCAGGCCAUUGUUGCGCGCAAUUGCUUUGGAUGAGGCAAACCCUGCGGGACUAUGGUUACAAAUUAACCAAAGUUCCCCUUCUAUGUGAUAAUGAGAGUGCAAUCCGCAUGGCGGAUAAUCCCGUUGAGCAUAGCCGCACUAAACACAUAGCCAUUCGGUAUCAUUUUUUUAGGGAUCACCAACAAAAGGGGGAUAUCGAGAUUUCAUACAUUAACACUAAGGAUCAAUUAGCCGAUAUUUUUACCAAGCCACUUGAUGAACAAACUUUUACCAAACUUAGGCAUGAGCUCAAUAUUCUUGAUUCUAGGAGUUUCUUUUGCUAAAACUUGCACACAUAGCUCAUAAGUAUACCUUUGAUCAUGUCUCUUUUAUAUAUGCUAUGACUAAUGUGUUUUCUAGUAUAUUUCAAACCAAGUCAUAGGUAUAUUGAAAGGGAAUUGGAGUCUUCGGUGAAGACAAAGGCUUCCACUCCACUCUACUACUCAUCCUUCGCCAUCGCUCCGCUUCACUCUCCAUCUUUGGUAUAAUUCUCACUCAUAUGUUUUAUUUGCCAAAGGGGAGAAAGUAGUUAGAAAAAGGGCCUAUAUUUCAUUCUGAGUAUCCGUUUUUGGCGAUUCAUGCCAAAGGGGGAGAAAGUAUUGGCCCAAAGCAAAAGGACCGCACCACCACCCUAAUUUUUAAAAUUAAUGAUUUUCAAUUGGUAAAUUUCAAAUUGGUAUCUCUUUGUGUUCUAAAGGGGGAGCAAGUAGUAUUUUCAAAACUUGAUAUCUUAAAACCCUCUUGAACACUAAGAGGAGAAUUGAUUGAGGGGAAGUUUUGUUUUUAGUCAAAGGAAAAAAGCAUUUGAAACAAGGGGAGAAAAUAUUCAAAUCUUAUAAAUGCUUCUCAAAAUCUUAUUCAUUUACCUUUGACUAUUUUGCAAAAGGACUUUGAAAAGGAUUUACAAAAAGAAUUUACAAAAACAAAACAUGUGGUGCAAGCGUGGUCCAAAAUAUUACUAAUAAAGAAACAAUCCAUGCAUAUCUAGUAAGUAACAUUUAUUGGCUCAAUUCCAAGCAACCUUUGCACUUACAUUAUGCAAACUAGUUCAAUUAUGCACUUUUAUAUUUGCUUUGGUUUGUGUUGGCAUCAAUCACCAAAAAGGGGGAGAUUGAAAGGGAAUUAGGCUUACACCUAGUCCCUAAUUAAUUUUGGUGGUUGAAUUGCCCAACACAAAUUAUUGGACUAACUAGUUUGCUCUAGUGUAUAAGUUAUACAGGUGCCAAAGGUUCACACUUAGCCAAUAAAAAGACCAAGUAUUGGGUUCAACAAAAGAGCAAAGGGACAACCGAAGGCACCUCUGGUCUGGCGCACCGGACUGUCCGGUGUGCCACCGGACAUGUCCGGUGCACCAGAGGACUCCAGUGCAAACUCAUCGUCUUCGGGAAAAUCCAGAGGCAACUCCACUAUAAUUCACCGGACUGUCCGGUGCACACCGGACAGUGUUCGGUGCUCCAAGGAAGAGCGGCCUCAGGAACUCGCCAGCCUCGGGAAUUCGCUUCGGCUGCUCCGCUAUAUUUCACCGGACAUGUCCGGUGUACACCGGACUGUCCGGUGUAACAGCGGGGCAACGACUACUUCAGGCGCCAACGGCUACCUGUAGCGCAUUUAUUGCGCGCCAGCGCGCGCAGAGGUCAGGCACGCCCAUGCUGGCGCACCGGACACUCUAUAGUACAUGUCCGGUGCGCCACCGGACAUCCAUGCGGGCCCAGAAGACAGAGCUCCAACGGUCGGAACCCAACGGUUUUGGUGACGUGGCUGGCGCACCGGACUGUCCGGUGCACCAUACGACAGCCAGCCUGCACCAAACGGCUAGUUUGGUGGUUGGGGCUAUAAAUACCCUCAACCACCCCACAUUCAAGUCAUCCAAGUUUUCCCACUUCAACUACUUACAAGAGCUCUAGCAUUCAAUUCUAGACACACCAAAGUGAUCAAAUCCUCUCCAAACUCCACACAACGCCCUAGUGAUUAGAGAGAGAGAUUUGCUUGUGUUCUUUCGAGCUCUUGCGCUUGGAUUGCUUUCUUCCUUCUUUGAUUCUUCAUUGCGAUCAAACUCACUUGUAAUUGAGGCAAGAGACACCAAUCUUGUGGUGGUCCUUGUGGGAACUUUGUGUUCCAAGUGAUUGUGAAGAAAAGCUCACUCGGUCCGAGGGACCGUUUGAGAGAGGGAAAGGGUUGAAAAAGACCCGGCCUUUGUGGCCUCCUCAAUGGGGAGUAGGUUUGCGAGAACCGAACCUCGGUAAAACAAAUCCGCGUGUCACACUCUUCAUUCGCUUGUGCUUUGUUUUGCGCCCUCUCUCUCGGACUCAUUAUUAUUUCUAACGCUAACCCGUCUCGUAGUUGUGUUUAUAUUUGUAAAUUUCAGUUUCACCCUAUUCACCCCCCCUCUAGGCGACUUUCAGUUUCCUUUCGGAAGUUGGAGGGAGUCCCGAAGCAGAUGGGCAGAUCGAGUUGUCCAAGGGGCUGGACGCGCUGCCCAGGAAUGAUCCCGUGAAAGGGCGCCGCACCGGCCCGGAUCGAGGACAGAUCGAUCUGCAGGAGCCCGAGGGUGUCGGCGUAGAUGAUGUUGAGGCUGCUGCCUCCGUCCAUGAGGACCUUGGUAAGCCUGACGUUGCCGAUGACGGGAUCAACAACGAGCGGGUACUUCACCGGGCUUGGCACGCGGUCGGGGUGGUCGUCUUGGUCGAAGGUGAUGGGCUUGUCGGACCAGUCUAGAUAGACUGGCGCCGCCACCUUAACCGAGCAGACCUCCCGGCGCUCUUGCUUGCGGUGCCGAGCCGAGGCGUUCACCACCCGCCCACCGUAGAUCAUGAAGUAGUCAUGGACCUCAGGGAACUCCUCUGCCUUGUGAGCUUCCCUCUUGUCGUUGUCGGGGGCCCUGCCACCUUCCGCCGGUGGCCCGGCCUUGUGGAAGUAGCGCUGAAGCAUGACACACUCGUCAAGGGUGUGCUUGACGGGACCCUGAUGAUAGAGCACGACUCCUUGAGCAUCUUGUCGAACAAGUUGGCGCCUCCGGGAGGUUUCCGAGGGUUCUUGUGCUCAGCGGCGGCGACAAGGUCUGCGUCGGCGGUGUCGCGUUUCGCUUGCGACUUCUUCUUGCCCUUCUUCCUCGUGCCGCGCUGAGCGGACGCUUCGGGGGCGUCAUCCGACUAGCGCCCCUGAGGCUGCUUGUCCUUCCGAAAGAUGGCCUCGACCGCCUCCUGGCCAGAGGCGAACUUGGUGGCGAUGUCCAUCAACUCGCUUGCCCUGGUGGGAGUCUUGCGACCCAGCUUGCUCACCAGUCGUGGCAAGUGGUGCCGGCGAGGAACACACCGAUGACAUCGGAGUCGGUGAUAUUGGGCAGCUCGGUGCGCUGCUUCGAAAAUCGCCGGAUGUAGUCCCGCAGGGAUUCUCCCGGCUGCUGACGGCAGCUUCGGAGAUCCCAGGAGUUCCCAGGGCGCACGUAUAUGCCCUGGAAGUUGCCGGCGAAGGCUUUCACCAGGUCGUCCCAGUUGGAGAUUUGCGCAGGAGGCAGAUGCUCCAGCCAGGCUCGGGCGGCGUCGGAGAGGAACAGGGGGAGGUUGCGGAUGAUGAGGUUGUCAUCGUCCGUUCCACCCAGCUGGCAGGCCAGCCGGUAGUCCGCGAGCCACAGUUCAGGCCUCGUCUCCCCCGAGUACUUGGUGAUGGUAGUCGGGGCCCGGAACCGGGUCGAGAACGGCGCCCGUCGUAUGGCCCGGCUGAAAGCUUGCGGACCGGGUGGUUCGGGCGAAGAGCUCCGAUCCUCCCCGCUGUCGUAGCGUCCCCCACGCCUGGGGUGGUAGCCUCGGCGCACCCUCUCGUCGAGGUGGGCUCGACGGUCGCGGCGAUGGUGCUCGUUGCCGAGGCGGCCCGGGGCCGCAGGCGCUGUGUCCCGCGUGCGCCCCGUGUGGACCGAGGCCUCCCGCACGAAUCGGGAAGUCGCGGCGCGAUGCUCCGGGGGGUAUCCCUGCCUUCGGGAGGCAGAGCUUUCGGCCCGUCGGACCGCGACAUCCUCCAGGAGAUUCUUGAGUUCUCCCUGGAUACGCCGCCCCUCGGUGGUGGAUGGUUCCGGCAUCGCACGUAGUAGCAUUGCUGCUGCAGCCAGGUUCUGGCCGACCCCACUGGAAGCCGGGGGCAGCCUUGCCCUGGCAUCGUCGGCGAUGCGGCGCUGGACGUCCUGGGCCAGAUGACACACUUCUCCGGCCGGUGCUCGGCCUGCCUGCUCCUGCCCGAUGUUCUGCCGGAGCUGCACAAGUUGUCCUGCUUCCUCGUCGAGCCUGGCCUGCAUCUCGCGGAUUUGCUCGAGCUGUGUGUCCUGACCCCCCGCAGGGACUGGGACCACGGCUAGCUCCCGAAGGAUGUCAACGCGAGGCGCAGGCCUAGAGGGAUCGCCGUCCUCCGGCAUACCAAGGUGGUUGCCUUCGUCGAGACCCUCUAGAUCGACGUGGAAACAUUCGUGACUUGGGCCACAGUCCUCGUCGUCGAGGCUGUGGCUAUCAUCAGAGCAAUCAGAGAGGCAGUAGUCACAUGCGAUCAUGAAGUCCCGCAUGGCACUAGAGUUACCGAGCCCGGAGAAAUCCCAACCAGAGUCGGGCUCGUCGUCUUCCUUGGAACCCGGGGGCCCGUAGGUCGAGACGGUCGUCAAUCUGUCCCAGGUUGACCACAUAUGGUACCCCGGGAGGUUUGGAUAUGCCUUUAUGAAAGCGUCCACCGAAGCGGGGUCGCUUGGUGGGUCGAAGCUGAAUCUAAAAGGCACAGAAUGGGAAACGGACGGUACCUCUUGAUCGACGGACGGUGAUGAAGUCGCGUCGGGGACGGACUGCACCGUUAUCUCAGGUACAAGGCUAACGCCCAGCAAGUCCUUCGUGAGCGUGCUGGCGUCGCCCGUCGUAUGCUUGGGGUUGGCGUGUUGCAGGAAAACGACGCUCAUCUUCGUCUCAAACGCGAAGUCAACGCCCGCCGUGUCCCCCGCUGGGGCGCCGGCGUCGUCGACUCGCUCGACAGCCGAUGAGGCGCCGCCUCCUGCUUGGCCAUGAUUGCCCCGCCUCCUUCCCCGUCGACGGGGAAGGUGACGGGACAGCCUCGAAUGCUGUUCUUCCGCCAUGCGGGGAAGACGUCGUCGAUUCUGCCGCCGGCGGGCGGGCUGACGGCCGCCAUUGUCGUUGUCGCGCGGCGGAGGAAGGAGUAUCAUGUCGUAGCUGCCGUCGAGGGACAUGAACUCGAGGCUCCCAAAACGGAGCUUCGUCCUGGGUUGGAGAGGUUGCUGGAGACUCCCCAUCUGGAGCUUGACGGGAAGCUUUUCGUCAACACACAGCAGUCCCCUACCUGGCGCGCCAACUGUCGGCGUUUCGACCCCGGGGGGUCCCUAGACCGACGAGUAAAUUGUCGCUGCGUGUCCCAGCCCAGAUGGGUUGGCGCGAGACGGAGACACAAAGGGGGGAAAACAGUAAGGGGAAACCCGCGGCCUCGUGUUGUCCUGCGCCCAGGGCGGAUGCGCUUGCAGUAGGGGGUUACAAGCGUUCGCGAGGGAGAGAGAGAGACAGGGGGCGUUAGGCUGCCCGUUCUCCCGCGCGGCCACCUUUUUCGUAUGAGAGCCAUGGACCUUCCUUUUAUAGACGUGAGGAGAGGGUCCAGGUGUACAACGGGGGGUGUAGCAGUGUGCUAACGUGUCUAGCAAAGAGGAGCUAGAGCCCUAUGUACGUGUCGACGUGGCUGUCAGAGAGGUGUUGGAGCCCUGUUCAUGUGGCGUCGUGGCCGUCAGAGGAGCGCUUGAGCCCUGUAGAAGCACAGCUGUCGGGGCUGUCGGAUCUUUGCUGACGUAUCAUUGCUUCCGUAGAGGGCUGAGAACCACCGUUGUCAUGGAGCACGCGGGGUGCCAUCAUUACUUGUUUUACCGGGGCGAGCCAGAUGGGACGCCGGUCUUGUUCCCCGUAGCCUGGGCUAGCUAGGGGUUGGGUAAUGAUGGCCUCCCCUUGUGGCGUGGUCGGCCCGAGCGAGGUGGUGACUCCUCCGAGGUCGAGGCUGAGUCCGAGCCCUGGGGUCGGGCGAGGCGGAGACCGUCUUCUGGAGUAGAGGCUGAGUCCGAGCCCGGGGGUCGGGCGAGGCGGAGAUCGUCGUCCGAGACGAGGUCGAGUCCGAGUCCUGGGGUCGGGCGAGGCGGAGAUCGUCGUCCGAGGCGAGGUCGAGUCCGAGCCCUGGGGUCGGGCGAGGCGGAGAUCGUCGUCCGAGGCGAGGUCGAGUCCGAGCCCUGGGGUCGAGCGAGGCGGAGAUUCCUAUGGCGCCCGAGGCGGGACUUGGUUGUUGUCAGCCUCACCCUGGCGGGUGGCACAGCAGUCGGAGCAGCGCAGACGGCGUUGUUUUCCUGUCAGGUCAGUCAGUGGAGGGGCGAAGUGAGUGCGGUCACUUCGGCCUUGUCGACUGGAAAGCGCGCGUCAGGAUAAGGUGUCAGGCGAUCCUUGCAUUGAAUGCUCCUGCGAUCCGGUCGGCUGGCGAGGCGAUCUGGCCAAGGUUGCUUCUCCGUGAAGCCUACCCGAGCUGGGCCUCGGGCGAGUCGAAAGUGCGCCCGUUGCUUGAGGAGACCCUCGGGCGAGGCGUGAAUCUGCCUUGGUCUUCCGUUCCUGCCCGAGGCUGGGCUCGGGUGAGGCGAGAUCGUGUCCCUUGAGUGGACGGAGCCUUAACCGGAAUUGCGCCCAUCAGGCCUUUGCAGCUUUGUGCUGAUGGGGGUUACCAGCUGAGAUUAGAAGCCUUGGGGGUACCCCUAAUUACGGUCCCCGACACAUACGCGGGUAACGGGUACGGGUUUAACAUUAAUCUCACGGGUACGGGUUUGUAAUCUCUGUACCCGCGGAUUUUAAACCCGUUGCCAUCCCUAGGUGACGGUGUGGCAAUUGGCAAAUAUACCCCCUCCCCC